GACGAACGCUGGCGGCGUGCCUAAUACAUGCGAGUCGAACGCAUUUUCUUUCACCGUAGCUUGCUACACCGAAAGAAAAUGAGUGGCGAACGGGUGAGUAACACGUGGGUAACCUGCCCAUCAGCGGGGGAUAACACUUGGAAACAGGUGCUAAUACCGCAUAAUUCCAUUUACCGCAUGGUAGAUGGGUGAAAGGCGCUUUUGCGUCACUGAUGGAUGGACCCGCGGUGCAUUAGCUAGUUGGUGGGGUAACGGCCUACCAAGGCUGCGAUGCAUAGCCGACCUGAGAGGGUGAUCGGCCACACUGGGACUGAGACACGGCCCAGACUCCUACGGGAGGCAGCAGUAGGGAAUCUUCGGCAAUGGACGCAAGUCUGACCGAGCAACGCCGCGUGAGUGAAGAAGGUUUUCGGAUCGUAAAACUCUGUUGUUAGAGAAGAACAAGGAUGAGAGUGGAAAGUUCAUCCCUUGACGGUAUCUAACCAGAAAGCCACGGCUAACUACGUG
rnacentral:rRNA from 1 species